GCAGAUAUAGUUUAAACAAAAUGUUGGAUUGUGAUUCCAAAGACAGAGGUUCAAACCCCCUUAUCCGCC
rnacentral:tRNA from 1 species